UUUAUUUACUGUUUGCUCCUGAAGAGUGUGAUACUAACACCAUCUGUCCUUUUCCUCCCAGGAAAGCUUGUGUACGAGCGCAUCUUUUCCAUGUGUGUGGAUAGCCGCAGUGUCUUACCAGAUCACUUUUCUCCAGAGAAUGCAAAUGACACGGCCAAGGAAACAUGCCUAAAUUGGUUUUUCAAGAUUGCCUCCAUCAGGGAACUCAUUCCAAGAUUUUACGUGGAGGCAUCCAUCCUGAAAUGUAACAAAUUCCUCUCCAAAACGGGAAUUUCAGAGUGCCUGCCCCGGUUGACAUGCAUGAUCAGAGGGAUCGGAGACCCACUGGUGUCGGUGUAUGCCCGUGCCUACCUGUGCCGGGUGGGAAUGGAAGUGGCCCCACAUCUCAAAGAAACCCUAAAUAAGAACUUUUUUGACUUCCUCCUUACGUUCAAACAGAUUCAUGGGGAUACGGUCCAGAACCAGCUGGUGGUCCAAGGAGUGGAGCUCCCAU
rnacentral:sRNA from 1 species